CCCAUGGCUCCUGUCCUGUUCUGUCAUCUCCACCCUAUGAGGGUGGCCAGCGUCUGGAGUUUAGCCCAGUAGGUUCCCUGUGCCCGUCAGGUUCAUAUGAGGGGAUUCAGACAGGAAGCUGUCCAUCAUGCCUGGCUUCUUUCACUCCACGCAAUGCCUGCUGUUGAGUGGGGAAGGCUUCCGGCGUCAGGGUUAGACUGUGGGUUUGGGUGUUGAAGGAGGUGGGCACUGCUGAUUUGGAACCUCAAGUUCCAACCCCACAGAUGGUCUUUAGGAUUGGGUCUCAUGGCAAGGGGAUAGGAGAGUCCUUGACUGCGGGCCUGGCAUGUUCUGGAAACUUUCACACAUCUCUUUCAAGGACUGUGCUAUGUGAGGGGUCAGCUCCAGUUUGACUUUAGCUGGGGAGAGGCUGUAAGGUGUUAGAGAUUUUACGGGAAAGGGUCCUGAUCCAGACCCCAAGAGAGGGGGCUCUUGGAUCUCAUGCAAGAAAGAAUUCAGGGCGAGUCUGUAAAGUGAAAGCAAGUUUAAGAAAAUGAAGGAAUAAAAGAAUGGUUACUCCAUAGACAGAGCCCUGAGGGCUGCUGGUUGCUCAUUUUUAUAGUUAUUUCUUGAUUAUAUGCUAAAAAAGGGGUGGGUGAUUCAUGCCUCCCCUUUUUAGACCAUAUAGGGUAACUUCUUGACGUUGCCAUGGCAUUUGUAAACUGUCAUGGCGGUAAUGGGAGUGUAGCAAUGAGGACAAGCAGGGUUCACUCUUAUUGCCAUCUUGGUUUUGGUGGGUUUUGGCGGGCUUCUUUACCGCAAGCUGUUUUAUCAGCAAGGUCUUUAUGACCUGUACCUUGUGCUGACCUCCUAUCCCAUCCUGUGACUUAGAAUCCUUUAACUGGGAAUGCAGCCCAGUAGGUCUCAGCCUCAGCUUACCCAGCUCCUAUUCGAGAUGGAGUUGCUCUUGUUCAAACGCCUCUGCCAGACCCACCAGUGUCUCUAACAAACCCGGAAUCCAGUUGGCCUUGAGGCAUGAGACUUCAACUCCCUUUACCACCCCUUCCCCCUCACUCACACCUUUGCUCCUCACCCUUCACACCUCAUCCUUUCCUAUAGAGAGAUCUUCCUUUCUGUGUAAGUAUGCACAACUUUUUUGUAAUUGGCUGUUGUCAGCUGGUAUUUGGCUAGUGCUUUACCCGACUACUUGAAAUAAAAAUAUCUCAGUGUUUUAACUUAAUCCUCAGAAGACCCUGUGAUAUAAUUAUCAUAAUUUUACAUUUUUGAGAAAACAGAUGCAGAGGCGUUAAGAAACUGGAACAAGGUCAUCAAAUUAAGGAAGUAAGAGAUGCAGGACUUCCUGACUCUGCAUCUUCUCCUUUUUUCUCACCAUUCUAGAAUUCUCUGAGUUUUUUGAGCUUAGAGCAGAGUUUCUCAAGAGCUGCAAUACUGGCAUUUGAGUCAAGUCAUUCUUUAUUGUUGAUGGUGGAGGGGGCACCCUGUGUAUUGUAGGACGUUGAGCAGCUUCUCUGACUUCUACCUACUAGAUGCCAGUAUCUCAGUUUUCUUAAAAGACUUUUUUUUUUUUUUUUUUUUUUUUUUUGAGAUGGACUCUUGCUGUGUUGCCUAGGCUGGAGUGCAGUGGCACCAUGUCGACUCACUGCAACCUCCGCCUCCCCGGUUCAAGCGAUUCUCCUGCCUCAGCUUCCUGAGUAGCUGGGAUUACAGGUGAGCACCACCAUGCCCAGCUAAUCGUAAAAGACUUUUCAUAAAACUUCAGAACUCCUUAAAAACUAGUGAAUAGCCAAGGUGAAGAAAGGCCUCAGGCUUCUGACUUUAGACCCCAAUCCCUGGGACUCCCACACUCAGCAAAGAAAGCUGGGUGCCUGCACCUUGGAUCUCUGAGCAAAUCUGUCUUAUGGCUGUGGGCAACUCAGGAACAUGAAUUAGCACGAGAAUCUGGAGUUUUUCUUUCCUUUUCUGGGUCUCACUCUGUCACCCAGGCUGGAGUGCAGUGGUGCAGUCAUGGCUCCCUGUAACCUCAACCUCUCAGACUCCAGCAAUCCUCCUGCGACAGAUGUCAAACAAAGAAAUGCAGAUCCUUCAGUUCAACUCUCAGUUGCAGUAAAGCCACCUACAGGAUCAGGUCAUACUAAACUGAAAUGUUGUUAUUAUCCUUUUCUGUAAGGGAGGCAGUCAAUGGUGAAUGCUGGCCUCGCCGAUUACUCACCUGGGGACCUUUCUGAGGAUCAGUUUUCUCAUCUAGAAAAUGGGACAACUGCUAGACCACUGAAGAAAAUACAGAAAACAGCCCCCACACAUCAGCAUGUUUGGUUCCUGCUAGUCUACUUGGAUCUGAGUGUUUUUUCUUGCCAUGAGUGUGACGUGAUUAUCUUCUCCUACAUCACACUGAAGUUUUAUGAAUGAUGCUUUAAAGUGCGAAGGGCCAGAGAGUUAAUAUUUUCGGCUUCUUGGGCCAGCUGGUCUCGGUGGCAGCUACUCAGCUCUGCCACUGCAGCAGAGAAUGGCCACAGGCGAUAAGGAAAUGAUAGGCGCGGCUGUGUUCCAAUAAAACUUUAUUUACAAAAAUGGGCAGUAGGCCAGAUUUGGUCUGUGUCUUAGACUUUGCUGACCCUGCUUUAAAGAAACAUCAAAGAGAUUCUACCAGCUGAUUUCCUUGCUCCCAAAAUUCUUGUAAGGACUAUGGCUGAGUUAGGAAGUUAUGUACUUUAAAAGCUAAUUUCAGGCCUGGCGUGGUGGCUCACGCCUGUAAUCCCAGCACUUCGGGAGGCUGAGGUGGGUGGAUCACUUGAGGUCAGGAGUUUCAGACCAGUCUGGCCAACAUGGCGAAACCCUGUCUCUACUAAAAAUACAAAAAAAUUAGCUGGGCGUGGUGGCAGGUGCCUGUAAUCCCAGCUACUUCAGAGGCUGAGGCAGGAGAAUCACUUGAACCUGGGAGGCAGAGGUUGCAGUGAGCCAAAAUCGCGCCCUUGCACUCCAGCCUGGGUGACAGAGCAAGACUCAGUCUUAAAACAAAAACAAAAAAAAAAAAAAAAAAGAAGAAAGCUACUAAUUUCAGUGUUUUUUGAAAUCACCCUCCUCCUUCUCCAAUCCUUGCUUAAGGGUUUAAGCUCACUUCUGUGCAGCCUCUUCUCAAUGUCAUAUAAAUGGUAGCACACGUGGGUCGGCCACUUUGAUGUCUGCUUUUAUGCAUUUGAGUGGUUGGGCACUGGUGGUUACCUGUUCCUGCUACCUCUGACCCAGAUUCUUACAUGUCUUAUUAUGUCCGUCCCUUUUUGGUUAGGAAGAAUGUCUUGGACUAGGUAUAUAAUAAAACAUAAAUCAUGACAUUUGGCAGGCAUCUCUAACAUUUAAACGAACAAUAUUAGAAAAUUUUAUGCCUUUUAUACAUGACCAGACCAAGUGUGUUUUUGAAGGUAAGUGGUAACACCUGUUUUUAACUGUUUAUUGGGGGCUGAAACUACCUGUCUUUGUGCAGCAAACCACUGGAGUGUCAACUGAGUACUUUCCAGCUACACAAGGAGAUCCAGAGUUUCAUUGUGGGAAUAAUUUCGACUUUACACACAGGUGCCCCUACUUACAGUGGGAUACAAUCAUCAGAUGCUAGAUGGGAUGGCUCCCCUUAGAUGAGCACAUAAAGCACAUUUGGUAUUUCACAGCUAGUGUACCUGUGCCUGUCUUUUAUCAAUGAUACCAACUGUGAAGCAAUUCUUUAGGGAUUAUCGGGCAAUUCUGCCUUAGAUUAACUUGACCCAAGAGCUCAGCUGAGAGAUGAGAAGUGGGAAAUUCUUGGCAACCUGCUCAUGAUUGACAUCUGUAGAUCAGGAGUCUCAAAGUGAGGACCACAAGAAAAUCCCUUGUUGGUAAGAAAAAAAUA